GACGGAGGAUGCAAGCGUUAUCCGGAAUGAUUGGGCGUAAAGCGUCCGCAGGUGGCAGUUCAAGUCUGCUGUCAAAGACCGGGGCUUAACUUCGGAAAGGCAGUGGAAACUGAACAGCUAGAGUAUGGUAGGGGCAGAGGGAAUUCCUGGUGUAGCGGUGAAAUGCGUAAAGAUCAGGAAGAACAUCGGUGGCGAAGGCGCUCUGCUGGACCAUAACUGACACUCAGGGACGAAAGCUAGGGGAGCGAAUGGG
rnacentral:rRNA from 1 species